AUCGACUUGUGACAUCGAUUUCUAUAUUAAUUUUAUUUAGAGUACAGAGAAGAUUAGCAUGGCCCCUGCGCAAGGUAUACACGCGAUAAUCGCGAAAUCUUUUAUAAAAAA
rnacentral:snRNA from 1 species